rnacentral:rRNA from 1 species
UACAGGACGAACGCUGGCGGCAUGCCUAACACAUGCAAGUCGAACGGGAUAAGUUGGUUGUAGCGAUACUUUGAACUUAUUCAGUGGCGAACGGGUGAGUAACACGUGAGCAACCUGCCUUUUACACAGGGAUAACAGUUGGAAACGACUGCUAAUACCGGAUAAGACCACACCGAGGCAUCUCGGAGGGUCAAAGCGAUUCAGCGGUAAAAGAUGGGCUCGCGUCCCAUUAGCUAGUUGGUGAGAUAACAGCCCACCAAGGCGACGAUGGGUAGCCGACUUGAGAGAGUGAUCGGCCACAUUGGAACUGAGACACGGUCCAGACUCCUUCGGGAGGCAGCAGUGGGGAAUAUUGGGCAAUGGAGGAAACUCUUACCCAGCCAAUGCCGCGUGAAUGAAGAAGGCCUUCGGGUUGUAAAGUUCUUUUAUUGAUGAUAAAGAAAGUGAUAUUAGUCAACGAAUAAGCCCCGGCUAACUAUGUGCCAGCAGCUGC